UGGGUGCGUCAUCAUUAUGAGGCAUUGGCAAAACUUCCGGCAUACACAUCCACCGGUGCAACGUAUUCAUUUGGUAACAUGGACCCCCUUGCAACGCCGUCGAAUAACCGUAACGGCGCUUCCAAUUCCUCCUUGUUCUUCCCUCCAAAUAGAGGCAUGAAUCACAUUCAAGAUUACACAACAAAGUGAAAGGGGGGAAACCAAUAUUUCAUAUCAAUGUUCCACUUCUUCAUUUGCAGCAUGUGUUAUUUCAAAAUGUGAAAUAUACAUCCUGGCAGAAAUCGCAAAACCUAUUAUGUGCUCUGCAUCAUCUUCUUUACCACAUGCCUUCGAUAUUGAUUUUGAUUGUUCUUUGUAUCGACUCUAAUACCAAUUGUAGAGAAUUGGAACACAUGACCAGAGAUUUUUGGUGACGGUGGUGAAACGAUGGGGAAUCGGUGGAUGAAGUUGACGCGUCUGUUUGAUUCUUUUCGGAAGGCGGAUGGGUUUGGUUGUUGACGGUUUCUGAAAGUUUCUAUUGAAUGUUUUGAAUGCGGAAAGUAAGGACGGUUUUUUAUGUGUUUCGACGAUGGUUUUUAUGAAUGUUUCAAAGACACGGGGGUUUGUUUUGUUCAGUCGGUUCCACUUAAUUUAUUUGUGAUUAAGAUUUUGAACAACGUGACCCUUCACAACUUAAACCCAUAGUACCUUUUAACAAAAGGAUACAACGUUUCUGAAGGAUAAGACUUUAUAUGCAUUAAAUUAAAAUGACAGCCUUUCAUUUUAGAAAAUAUUUUGAAUUAAUAGCUUUUCUAACAGAUGUGUCUUUUAUUUAAGGGGUGUAACUCAAGUUACUUUUUGUAGGGUUAUUAAUUUGGGUAUAUUAUGAGAAUUAUAUGAUUCUAGUGGAACUUGAUGAUCUUGAUAUGAACUUGUAAUAUUAUGCAUAAAAUACUUGUACAUUAGGCUUAGAAAGUAGUACGCACACCAAGUGUUUGAUGAAAUGUCUAAAUGGAAAUGAUGUGUGAAAUUGUAUGCAAGUAAUAGGUAAUUAUAUAUAGAACGUGAUAAUAAUGUAUUUGAUAGUAAACUAACAUGAGAAGUGCGUUUUAGAUAUAGUUCAUGCGGAGGCUAUGUUGAAAUGAUGUUGGGUUAGCUAAGUAUGAGUUAAGGUGUUAGCUGUGAAGAUAUGAAAACGCUAGUGUGGAAGGAAUGGAUUAUGUAUGUACAUGUUUAUAUAAUUAGGUAAUCAUGUACUUGAAUAUGUCAUAUAAUACGAUCAUGAAAUGCGUAUAAUGUUAAUACUAUGCUCUACCAUAUUAAGAUGGAUACAUGUUCAUAAGUUGAAAGUGUGUAAGUAAGACAGUUGACUUUUUGAAAGUCAACAAUGAAUGAAUAACAUGGUUAGCCUUUCAGACACAAUUAUAAUAGUAGAGAAGUAAUGUGUUAUGUACUAGAUGAUCUACAUGUCGUGUACGAUGAUGAUUGAGUUGCGUGAAUGUGGAACAAGGUAACUUUUAGUCUAUGCCUUAUGUAUGUGGUAUUUGGUUAAUAAAAAUGCAAGUAAUAUAUGAAUGGAAGGAAAUGAAUGUUAGUAUGAAUGAGCAUUUGUGCUAACCAUAAUGUGAUUGUAAUGACAUGAAAGGAUAGGGAUUACAUUAGCAUGGACUCAAGAACGGAACGCUAACGAGUCAAGAGGAGGCGAGGAAGCAAGCUUGAACACGAACGCUUAAGGUAAGUGAUUUCCGUAAUCACUUCUUAGUUGUUUACGUAAAGAUAUGUGCUAGUUAAUUAAGUAUGAUAAUUGAGGACAAAUAAGGAUGGUUCGUAUGAAAUCGAUGAUUUUCGCUAAGUAGAGGUAAUGGAUCAAAAUGUGGUUUUAUUACUAUACCGGAAGGGUUGCGUAAGUGAUGAAUACGGUGCUAUAACCGGGUAUGGGUAGAAUGGUACAUAAGCACGCUAAUCAAGAAUUAGAGGCGCGAAUUAAUAGUAUAAAUACCCGGUUGUGAGUUACGGUUAAUGGACAAUCAAGUUAGCAAGUUGAAAUUGUAUUAACCAAGUUGUUUUCGUACAAAUGAAUGAAAUGAAUAAGUUUAAUGCAUACCGGGUAUCGGGUACGUAAAUCCCAAGUACGAAACCCCGGAUAAUGUAAAAGUAUUAUGGUUAUAAGGUUCGUGUAAGUUUUGGGCUAAAACAAAUGAAAUGUUUUGAUAAAAACAUGAACGGGUCGAAUAAUCGUACAUGAAUAAUAAGCCGAUAGUGUGUAAGUUAAGAAUUUGCUUAAUCCGGAUAUGGGAUUUUAAGUUCAUAUGAUAGAAUGUGAAUUUACAAGCAUGUAGGAAGAAACGGGAGGUUAAACGGGUAAACGGUUCAAAAGUUAUACGCGUUUUAGUGCGUACGGACGACGAAACGGAUCUGCAGAAAAAGGGGUUUUCUAGAGGGCGUCGCCGACGGCCUCCCCAAGUUCCAAAAGCUGAAAUCUUGUUAUUUAAGCUGAUUUAUGUAUCGUAGGCUUCGGUUUGUCAUCCGUGGUCUACGGCAGACCUUCCAAACAUGAUUUUGAUGGUUCCUUAAAUGUUUAUGGGCUAUAAAGCUAAGUCUAAGACCCAUGUAAAUAUUGUAUGAAUAUGUAAGAGGUACGCGUGAUCUAGCACGUGUACGUAAAGGUAUGCAUGUAUGUAAUGAUGUAGGAAAGGUAUGUAUGAAUGUAGAUGUGUAUGUAUGUAUGUAUGUAUGUAUGUAUAAAGAUAUGUACGAGUAUAUGCAUGUAUGUAAUGAUGUAGGAAAGGUAUGUACGAAUGUAGAUGUGUAUAUAUGUAUGUAUAAAGAUAUGUACGAGUGUAUGCAUGUAUGUAAUAAUGUAUGAAAGGUUUGUCCCGUAUGUAGAUGUGUAUGUAUGUGUGUAUGUAUGUAUAAAGAUAUGUACGAGCGUAUGCAUGUAUGUAAAGAUGUAGGAAAGGUACGCACGUAUGUAGAUGUGUAUGUAUGUAUGUAUGUAUGUAUAAAGACAUGUAUGAGUGUAUGCACGUAUGUAAAGUUGUAGGAAAGAUAUGUACGUAUGUAGAUGUGUAUGUAUGUAUGUAUGUAAGUACCUAUGUAUGCAUGAUUUAGACACGUUGAGGGUUAACGUUAUUAAUGGUGUACCUUCAGAAUGAAAAGUAAUGCAGGUACAUUAUUGAAGCAUCACCAGGAAAUGGAUACGCAGAUGAAAUGCUUAAAGUUUGAAAGAAUACGAAAUGUGAAGUGUACGCGAAUGAAUCUUGUUAUUAUAAUGUGUGCUAAUGUUAUGAAUGUAUGUGGUGAGUGCAGGUUGUACGGAUAACGGGCGAUUAUCACAAGGAUUAGAGAUCGAAGACCGAGUCACAAGAUAGAUUGUACGGGAAUAAUUGAGUAUGUACUAUUAGUAAACAGGACUUAUGCUUUAUCUUUGUAAAAGAUACAUAUUACAACGAACUUUCAAGUAAGUCAAGACGUUUGUAAUGAAAGAAAUU
rnacentral:lncRNA from 1 species